UUAAAAUCCUUAAAGAACUAACUUUCACUAUUAUGCGCCAAAACACUCCCGGAUCAUUCAGAACCCGAUCCGAUCAUACACCUAAGUCCAAAGUUAUUAUACAAACCUAAUGGAACCGUCAAAUCCUAAUUCCGAGUUUAUUUACUCAAGAUAUUGACCGAUGUCAAAUUUCACCUUACCUUGAGAAAUCAAGUGUUCUGAUUUCAAACUAAAUUCUUCCAAGCCCCGAACCAACCAUCCAUGUAAGUCAUAAAUCGGUAAAAGCAAGUACAAAAAAUCUUAUUUAGGGGAAUGAGAUUCUAGAAAACAAAGCGACCGAUCGGUUCGUUACUAUUCUCAUGCGAUUGACUUAGUCAAAUUGCUCCUUGAGAUCCUUCCACAACGUAAGAAUUAGAGGCAUAUACAAUUCCACGAAGUACAUCUUCAGAACCUGUGUUGAUAAUCAAUAAGAGGACAGUUGCAUCACAUUUUUCUCCUACAACUCCUUGUCAAUUACAGGUACCAAAUACGACCCUUAGAUUUCUCUUUGCUUGAAGAGUGAUGCGCAUUGAUCUCCUCCAUAGGUCAUAUUCUCUGAUCCUGUGAGUUUUACUAGAAUAACUAGCGAACCACGAGUAUUAGCAGGAUUCAUGAAUAAUAGAUUUGUGUAGUUUAAUUCCUAUGCCGGCAUAAUUGCAAACUAAUGAGCUUGAUUCAGAAGAGAUUUCACACAGUGAUUUGAUUAAUUGAAUCAAAAAUUGUGUGUAUGACCAGAAUCAAUUACUCUGAUACCAUGCUAAAAUGUAGAGAGAGCUGAGACAAAUUCAGUCAUUGAAGCUGGAGAAGCUUCAGUAAGAAGAAGAAAGGUAAAUGAGUGAAAAAGCAAAAUGAUAGCCAUCUACUGUUCUAUUGCUUUGCAAUGUAUUUGUAAAAUCAAG
rnacentral:lncRNA from 1 species